GUGCUCACUUUGGCAGCACUUACACUAAAACUGGAGCGAUACAGAGAUUAGCAUGGCCUCUACAUAAGGAUGACAUACAAAUUCAUGAAGUGUUCACAUUUUUU
rnacentral:snRNA from 1 species